CACGCAGGCGGUCAUACAAGUCAGCUGUUAAAUGCAUGGGCUUAACCGAUGCAUGCGGUUGAAACUGUAUGGCUAGAGUACUGGAGAGGUAAGCGGAAUUCCCGGCGUAGCGGUGAAAUGCGUAGAUAUCGGGAAGAACACCAGUGGCGAAGGCGGCUUACUGGCCAGUAACUGACGCUGAGGUGCGAAAGCCAGGGGAGCGAACC
rnacentral:rRNA from 1 species